rnacentral:rRNA from 1 species
GAUGAACGCUGGCGGCGUGCCUAAUACAUGCAAGUCGAGCGAACAGACGAGGAGCUUGCUCCUCUGACGUUAGCGGCGGACGGGUGAGUAACACGUGGAUAACCUACCUAUAAGACUGGGAUAACUUCGGGAAACCGGAGCUAAUACCGGAUAAUAUAUUGAACCGCAUGGUUCAAUAGUGAAAGACGGUUUUGCUGUCACUUAUAGAUGGAUCCGCGCCGCAUUAGCUAGUUGGUAAGGUAACGGCUUACCAAGGCGACGAUGCGUAGCCGACCCGAGAGGGUGAUCGGCCACACUGGAACUGAGACACGGUCCAGACUCCUACGGGAGGCAGCAGUAGGGAAUCUUCCGCAAUGGGCGAAAGCCUGACGGAGCAACGCCGCGUGAGUGAUGAAGGUCUUCGGAUCGUAAAACUCUGUUAUUAGGGAAGAACAAAUGUGUAAGUAACUAUGCACGUCUUGACGGUACCUAAUCAGAAAGCCACGGCUAACUACGUG